rnacentral:rRNA from 1 species
UACGGGGGGGGCAAGCGUUGUUCGGAAUUACUGGGCGUAAAGGGCUCGUAGGCGGCCAACUAAGUCAUACGUGAAAUCCCUCGGCUUAACCGGGGAACUGCGUCUGAUACUGGAUGGCUUGAGAUUGGGAGAGGGAUGCGGAAUUCCAGGUGUAGCGGUGAAAUGCGUAGAUAUCCGGAGGAACACCGGUGGCGAAGGCGGCUUCCUGGACCGACACUGACGCUGAGGCGCGAAAGCUAGGGGAGCAAACGGG